rnacentral:rRNA from 1 species
GAUGAACGCUGGCGGCGUGCCUAAUACAUGCAAGUCGAGCGAACGGACGAGAAGCUUGCUUCUCUGAUGUUAGCGGCGGACGGGUGAGUAACACGUGGAGAACCUACCUAUAAGACUGGGAUAACUUCGGGAAACCGGAGCUAAUACCGGAUAAUAUUUUGAACCGCAUGGUUCAAAAGUGAAAGACGGUCUUGCUGUCACUUAUAGAUGGAUCCGCGCUGCAUUAGCUAGUUGGUAAGGUAACGGCUUACCAAGGCAACGAUGCAUAGCCGACCUGAGAGGGUGAUCGCCCACACUGGAACUGAGACACGCCCCAGACUCCUACGGGAGGCAGCAGUAGGGAAUCUUCCGCAUUGGGCGAAAGCCUGACGGAGCAACGCCGCGUGAUUGAUGAAGGUUUUCGGAUCGUAAACCUCUGUUAUUAGGGAAGACCAUAUGUGUAAGUAACUGUGCACAUCUUGACGGUACCUAAUCAGAAAGCCACGGCUAACUACGUG